rnacentral:rRNA from 1 species
GCCGAAAGGCUGAACCAGUAACUUGGAAGAAUGAUAAUGUUAACUUUAUAUAAGUGCAUUCGCGAUUAACUCGCAUAAAAUUCUAAAUAGAUUAGAUAUAAUGACAUAAUCUAUUUAUAAGUCUUGACCAAACUACGUGCCAGCAGUCGCGGUAAUACGUAGGAGGCUAGUGUUAGUUAUCUUUAUUGGGUUUAAAGGGUAAGUAGACGGUAAAUUAAACUCUAAACGAGUACUUUUUUACUAGAGUUAUAUGAGAGAAGGAAGAAUUUCUGGAGUAGAGAUAAAAUUUGAUGAUACCAGGAGGACUGUCAACGGCGAAGGCGUCCUUCUAUGUAAUAACUGACGUUGAGAGACGAAGGCUUGGGUAGCAAACAGGAUUAGAUACCCUAAUAGUCCAAGCAGACAAUGAUGAAUGUCAUACAUUAGAUAUAUAUUUAAUGUAUAAACGAAAGUGUAAGCAUUCCACCUCAAGAGUACUAUGGCAACAUAUAAACUGAAAUCAUUAGACCGUUUCUAAAACCAGUAGUGAAGUAUGUUAUUUAAUUCGAUGAUCCGCGAAAAACCUUACCACAGCUUGUAUAGCAUAUUAUAAAAAAUUGUUACAAGCGCUGCAUGGCUGUCUUUAGUUAAUGUCGUGAGAUUUGGUUAAUUCCUUUAAUUAACGAAAACCCUCACUUUAUUUGUUUAUAUAAAGUGGUUCGCUACUACAUCGGACCAGAUAAAAGGGAUUAAGACAAGUCAUUAUGGCCU